UUGAUAUGAUGAUACCUUGAGAAUGGUUUCGCAUACUGGACUGAUGUCUUGUGAUGUCAUGUUUCUCUUGGCUAUCUGAUCAA
ensembl:snoRNA small nucleolar RNA SNORD53/SNORD92